GAUGAACGCUGGCGGCGUGCCUAACACAUGCAAGUCGAGCGAACGCACGGUAAGCUUUCUCCUUUGCUGUUAGCGGCUGACGGGUGAGUAACGCGUGCAUCACCUUCUUCUAUGUCUUGGAUAAUUUCGUGAAACCGUAGCCACUACUGCAGCAUAUUAUCUACCGCAUGGUUCAAAAGUGCAUGACGCCUUUGCUGUCACAUAUAGACGAUUCCGCGCUGCAUUAGCUAGUUGGUAAGGUAACGGCUUACCAAGGCAACGAUGCGUAGCCGACCUGAGAGGGUGAUCGGCCACACUGGAACUGAGACACGGUCCAGACUCCUACGGGAGGCAGCAGUAGGGAAUCUUCCGCAAUGGGCGAAAGCCUGACGCAGCAACGCCGCGUGAGUGAUGAAGGUCUUCGGAUCGUAAAACUCUGUUGUUAGGGAAGAACAUAUGUGUGAGUAACUGUGCACAUCUUGACGGUACCUAAUGAGAAAGCCCCGGCUAACUACGUG
rnacentral:rRNA from 1 species